GCAAAGUUGACAGAUUGUUGUACUCAAGAGCCACAUAUUUACCGGUUUCUGGCCCAUCAUUAUUGCCACUCAAAUGAUAACCAUAUAUGAAGGCAGUUAUUUGGGUGAUGAAAGCAGUUUUGGGGUCGGAAAUUGGCAAACAUAAGGCAGAGUACGACAAUCUUGCAACGUUGUAAAUUGAGGGUGGAAAGAGUUAGCACAGAAGAAGAAAAAGAUGAAGAAGAGGCAGAAGAAAAAGGAAAAGAAAAAAAGAUGAAGAAGAAGAGGCAGAAGAAGAAGAAGAAGAAGAAGAAGAAGAAGAAGAAGAAGAAGAAGAAGGAAAAGAAAAAAUGAAGAUGAAGACAAAGAUGAAGAAGAAAAAGAUGAAGAGAAAGAGUUAGCAGGUUAUAGAGGAGCACAUGACUGAAAGGGUAAGAAGACAGGUGAUUAUGGAGUACCAGAGGAAGAGAGGAAUGGAGAGGUAAAAAAGGAUGACAUUGGAAGGUAAAGGUGGAAUGAAGUGGAAGUUCGUAGGUGGAAAGAGUAAGCAGAUGGAGGAGCGCUUGACUGAAAGGUAAAGCUAAAAUUGGGGGCAUAUGCUGUAGCAGCGCAUGGCCUCGGUGCUCAUCUCCAUAACACUGGCCCUUGAGCCUGUAGUGGGAGGGAGCCCAUUACCCCGGGACACAGGGCCAGAGUGACAUCCGGGUUAGCACAGUUUACUUUCCCCAGGUUUCCCCAGGUACCCAUUUAUUGACCAGCCUGAGAGGAAGGAUGAACAGCUGAGUGAGCUGCACGCCAACUGCCCGGGCCGGGAUUUGAACCCAGGCCCGCGGAGUAGAAGCCAGGCACGCUGACCACUAGACCACGGAGGCGUAUAGAAAAGGGGAAGAAAACAGGUGAGACAGGAAUGGAAGAGGAAGGGGAAGAGAGAAAUGGAGAGAUAAAGAAGGAUGAUAAAAGGGAAUACAUGGAAAAAAGGUGGAUGAGAGGGGAAGUUUGAGUGGAAAAAAAUAACAACACAUGAUAGAAAAAAGGAAUGACUGGAAGAGUAAGAAAACAGGAGAGAAAGGAAUAGAAGAGGAAGAGAAAGAGAAUGGAAUGAUAAAAGAGAAUGAUAGAGGGGAGGAGAUGAUGAAAGGUUUGUGGGUGGAAAGAGGAGAGCAUGACUGAAAGGGUAAGAAAACAGAAGAAAGGAAUGGAGACAAAAUACGGAUGACAACAAAACAGACGCAGAGAGAAAUUAAUUACAGGAGAAGGAAGAGAGUGAUUAGUGAGAGAGAGAGCACGGACGGGAAGGGACGGAUGCAAGGUGGUAGUGUGAGGCGGGGGU